rnacentral:rRNA from 1 species
AGAGUUUGAUCAUGGCUCAGGAUGAACGCUAGCUACAGGCUUAACACAUGCAAGUCGAGGGGAAACGACAUCGAAAGCUUGCUUUUGAUGGGCGUCGACCGGCGCACGGGUGAGUAACGCGUAUCCAACCUGCCCACCACUUGGGGAUAACCUUGCGAAAGUAAGACUAAUACCCAAUGACGUCUCUAGAAGACAUCUGAAAGAGAUUAAAGAUUUAUCGGUGAUGGAUGGGGAUGCGUCUGAUUAGGCUUGUUGGCGGGGUAACGGCCACAAGGCGACGAUCAGUAGGGGUUCUGAGAGGAAGGUCCCCCANAUUGGAACUGAGACACGGUCCAAAUCCUACGGAAGGCA